rnacentral:lncRNA from 1 species
CAUAUACUUAUCAGAAAUUCUAUAGUGCUCCCACUCACUUCUUUGGAAAUACAAGUUUCUCAUAAACCUUGUACAAACCCAAAACCUUUGAUCAUCUCAUCAAAGCGUAUAUUCCAACUCCGAGAUGCUUGCACCAGUCCAUAAAAGGAUCGCUGGAGCUUGCAUACUUGUUAGUAUCCUUAGGAUCGACAAAACCUUCUG